UACGUAGGUGGCAAGCGUUGUCCGGAAUUAUUGGGCGUAAAGCGCGCGCAGGUGGUUUCUUAAGUCUGAUGUGAAAGCCCACGGCUCAACCGUGGAGGGUCAUUGGAAACUGGGGAACUUGAGUGCAGAAGAGGAAAGUGGAAUUCCAAGUGUAGCGGUGAAAUGCGUAGAGAUUUGGAGGAACACCAGUGGCGAAGGCGACUUUCUGGUCUGUAACUGACACUGAGGCGCGAAAGCGUGGGGAGCGAUCAGG
rnacentral:rRNA from 1 species